rnacentral:lncRNA from 1 species
CAUGCCGGGAGCCGCCGGGGGAGGAGCCCGCCGCUAUUGGCGCGGCGGCGCGGCGGGAGCGCGCGGCAGGGGCAGUCUAGGUAUGCUGGUAAUGGUUUUCCUGGGUCUGCAAGGAAAGCUUUAAGGACCUGUCUGGAGCCUGAGUUGACAUUAUUUGAAUCUGCAGCUAAAAAAGCCGUGAGGAGGAACACCAGAAGAGUGAGCAUAAGCUUUCCUCUGUGGUACCAAACUCUCACUUUGGUUGAAUGAAAGGCAGCGGUUCUGUUCAAAAGGUACACUUGAUCUGUAGACUUUCUUACGUGCAUAUGGGUGCACACACACACACGUACAAAAAACGCUAAGUCAAGGUGUGUUUACAAACAUCAGGAAAGAGAAAUUGGGGCUCACUGUUUUGAAGUAAUAGCCUGUACAUUUAUUACGUUUCUGCCAAUAUUACCACCCCUAAAAGUAG